UACGGAGGAUGCGAGCGUUAUCCGGAUUUAUUGGGUUUAAAGGGUGCGUAGGCGGACUGUCAAGUCAGCGGUAAAAUUGAGAGGCUCAACCUCUUCCCGCCGUUGAAACUGGUGGUCUUGAGUGGAUGAGAAGUACGCGGAAUGCGUGGUGUAGCGGUGAAAUGCAUAGAUAUCACGCAGAACUCCGACUGCGAAGGCAGCGUACCGGCAUCCAACUGACGCUGAGGCACGAAAGCGUGGGGAUCAAACAGG
rnacentral:rRNA from 1 species